rnacentral:rRNA from 1 species
AUUGAACGCUGGCGGCACGCUUAACACAUGCAAGUCGAACGGCAGCAUUUUACUAGCUUGCUAGUAGAGAUGACGAGUGGCGAACGGGUGAGUAAUACAUCGGAACGUGCCCGAUCGUGGGGGAUAACGAAGCGAAAGCUUUGCUAAUACCGCAUACGAUCUACGGAUGAAAGCAGGGGACCGCAAGGCCUUGCGCGAACGGAGCGGCCGAUGGCAGAUUAGGUAGUUGGUGGGAUAAAAGCUUACCAAGCCGACGAUCUGUAGCUGGUCUGAGAGGACGACCAGCCACACUGGGACUGAGACACGGCCCAGACUCCUACGGGAGGCAGCAGUGGGGAAUUUUGGACAAUGGGCGAAAGCCUGAUCCAGCCAUGCCGCGUGCAGGAUGAAGGCCUUCGGGUUGUAAACUGCUUUUGUACGGAACGAAAAGACUCUGGUUAAUACCUGGGGUCCAUGACGGUACCGUAAGAAUAAGCACCGGCUAACUACGUGCCAGCCGCCGCCGUAACAC